GCUCCAGUGGCCCAGUUGAUCAGCGCGUGGUGCUUAUGAGGAUGAGGAAUGCCGAGAUCAAGAGUUCGAUCUCCUCAUGGAGCA